rnacentral:rRNA from 1 species
GACAGAGGGGGCUAGCGUUGUUCGGAAUCACUGGGCGUAAAGGGCGCGUAGGCGGCAUUGUAAGUCAGAGGUGAAAGCCUGGAGCUUAACUCCAGAACUGCCUUUGAUACUGCUUUGCUUGAGGCCGAGAGAGGAUAGUGGAAUUCCUAGUGUAGAAGUGAAAUUCGUAGAUAUUAGGAGGAACACCAGUUGCGAAGGCGACUAUCUGGCUCGGAUCUGACGCUGAGGCGCGAAAGCGUGGGGAGCAAACAGG